UGGCGACCAUAGCGUUAUGGACCCACCUGAUCCCAUGCCGAACUCAGAAGUGAAACGUAAUAGCGCCGAUGGUAGUGUGGGGUUUCCCCAUGUGAGAGUAGGACAUCGCCA
rnacentral:rRNA from 3 species